UACUACAUACUCAGGGGCUUCAUAUAC
rnacentral:piRNA from 1 species